UAGGGAAUCUUCGGCAAUGGGGGCAACCCUGACCGAGCAACGCCGCGUGAGUGAAGAAGGUUUUCGGAUCGUAAAGCUCUGUUGUAAGUCAAGAACGGGUGUGAGAGUGGAAAGUUCACACUGUGACGGUAGCUUACCAGAAAGGGACGGCUAACUACGUGCCAGCAGCCGCGGUAAUACGUAGGUCCCGAGCGUUGUCCGGAUUUAUUGGGCGUAAAGCGAGCGCAGGCGGUUUGAUAAGUCUGAAGUUAAAGGCUGUGGCUCAACCAUAGUUCGCUUUGGAAACUGUCAAACUUGAGUGCAGAAGGGGAGAGUGGAAUUCCAUGUGUAGCGGUGACAUGCGUAGAUAUAUGGAGGAACACCGGUGGCGAAAGCGGCUCUCUGGUCUGUAACUGACGCUGAGGCUCGAAAGCGUGGGGAGCGAACAGG
rnacentral:rRNA from 2 species